rnacentral:rRNA from 1 species
AGUAACACGUGGGUAACCUGCCCAAGAGAUCGGGAUAACACCUGGAAACAGAUGCUAAUACCGGAUAAAAGCUACUUUCGCAUGAAAGAAGUUUAAAAGGCGGCGUAAGCUGUCGCUAAAGGAUGGACCUGCGAUGCAUUAGCUAGUUGGUAAGGUAACGGCUUACCAAGGCGAUGAUGCAUAGCCGAGUUGAGAGACUGAUCGGCCACAUUGGGACUGAGACACGGCCCAAACUCCUACGGGAGGCAGCAGCU